rnacentral:snRNA from 1 species
AGCUUUGCCCAGUGGCAGUAUCGUAGCCAAUGAGGUUUAUCCGAGGCAUGAUUAUUGCUAAUUGAACUACGAUUAAUAUACAAAAGAAAUUUCAGAGCAAAGUGAAGGGACACACCACAUAAUUCUUUUAGAUUAGGAAGAAGUUUCUAAGAAA